GCUUAGAGUUUGAUCCUGGCUCAGGAUGAACGCUGGCGGUAUGCUUAACACAUGCAAGUCGAACGGAGUACUUCGGUACUUAGUGGCGGACGGGUGAGUAACGCGUGAGAAUCUGCCUUCAGGAUGGGGAUAACAGUGGGAAACCAUUGCUAAUACCCAAUGAGCCGAGAGGUAAAAAAUUUAUUGCCUGAAGAGGAGCUCGCGUCCGAUUAGUUAGUUGGUGGGGUAAAGGCUUACCAAGACGGCGAUCGGUAGCUGGUCUGAGAGGAUGAGCAGCCACACUGGGACUGAGACACGGCCCAGACUCCUACGGGAGGCAGCAGUGGGGAAUUUUCCGCAAUGGGCGCAAGCCUGACGGAGCAAUACCGCGUGAGGGAGGAAGGCCUUUGGGUUGUAAACCUCUUUUCUUAAGGAAGAAGAUCUGACGGUACUUAAGGAAUCAGCAUCGGCUAACUCCGUGCCAGCAGCCGCGGUAAUACGGAGGAUGCAAGCGUUAUCCGGAAUUAUUGGGCGUAAAGCGUCCGCAGGCGGCACUAUAAGUCUGCUGUCAAAGACCGCAGCUCAACUGCGGAAAGGCAGUGGAAACUGUAGAGCUAGAGUACGGUAGGGGUAGAGGGAAUUCCCAGUGUAGCGGUGAAAUGCGUAGAGAUUGGGAAGAACACCAGUGCCGAAAGCGCUCUACUGGGCCGUAACUGACGCUCAGGGACGAA
rnacentral:rRNA from 1 species